AACGAACGCUGGCGGCAUGCCUAACACAUGCAAGUCGAACGAAACCUCCGGGCCUAUUUGCGCACGUCUGCGUAACGCGUGGGGACCUGCCCUUAGGUUACGCAUACCUCCCCGAAAGGUAUGCUAAUACCGGAUAAUCUCUUCCGACCAAAGAUUUCUCGCCUUUGGAUGGGCCCGAGUUGGAUUAGAUAUUUGGUAGGGUAAAAGCCUACCAAGGCGUGGAUCCAUAGCUGGUGUGAGAGGAUGAUCAGCCACACUGGGACUGAGACACGGCCGCGAAUCCUACGGAAGAGUGCAGUGGGGAAUAUUGGAAACGGGGGGAAGGCGUGAAACAGCAAUGCGCCGUAAGUGGUGAAGGCGUUAGGGAUGUAAAGCUCUAUUACCCGGGAUGAUAAUGACGGUACCGGGAGAAUAAGCCCCGGCUAACUACGUG
rnacentral:rRNA from 1 species